rfam:Mucilaginibacter pedocola strain TBZ30 scaffold4, whole genome shotgun sequence.
AACUAAACCCGAUAGCAGCGGAAAGCCCGCUUCUACCAGCGGCUUGCAGCGGAUAGCGGGACUGGCG